UACGUAGGUGGCAAGCGUUGUCCGGAUUUACUGGGCGUAAAGCGUGUGUAGGCGGACCUUUAAGUAGAAAGUGAAAGGUAGGAGCUCAACUCCUACAUUUGCUCUCUAUACUGGAGGUCUUUGAGUGUCGGAGAGGAAGAUGGAACUGCACGUGUAGCGGUGAAAUGCGUUGAGAUGUGCAGGAACACCAAUGGCGAAGGCAAUCUUCUGGACGAAAACUGACGCUGAGACACGAAAGCCAAGGUAGCAAACAGG
rnacentral:rRNA from 1 species